CCUACGGGAGGCAGCAGUGAGGAAUAUUGGUCAAUGGCCGAGAGGCUGAACCAGCCAAGUCGCGUGAGGGAAGACGGCCCUACGGGUUGUAAACCUCUUUUGUCGGGGAGCAAAGCGAGUCACGUGUGACUCAUUGAGAGUACCCGAAGAAAAAGCAUCGGCUAACUCCGUGCCAGCAGCCGCGGUAGACGGAGGGUGCGAGCGUUAAUCGGAUUUACUUGGUGUAAAGGGUGGGCAGGGGGAGGUGCAAGUCAGCGGUCAAAUUGGGGGGCUAAAACCCGUACUGCCGUUGAAAAUGCAUCCCUUGAGUGCGCGAGAAGUAUGCGGAAUGCGUGGUGUAGCGGUGAAAUGCAUAGAUAUCACGCAGAACUCCGAUUGCGAAGGCAGCAUACCGGCGCGCAACUGACGCUCAUGCACGAAAGCGUGGGUAUCGAACAGGAUUAGAUACCCCUGUAGUC
rnacentral:rRNA from 1 species